GGCAACAGCUCAAAUUUGAAAUCUGGCGCGAGCCCGAGUUGUAAUUUGGAGAGGAUGCUUCAGGGCCGCGGCCGGUCUAAGUUCCUUGGAACAGGACGUCGUAGAGGGUGAGAAUCCCGUAUGCGACCGGUUGGCACCCGUCACGUAGCUCCUUCGACGAGUCGAGUUGUUUGGGAAUGCAGCUCUAAAUGGGAGGUAAAUUUCUUCUAAAGCUAAAUACCGGCCAGAGACCGAUAGCGCACAAGUAGAGUGAUCGAAAGAUGAAAAGCACUUUGGAAAGAGAGUUAAAAAGCACGUGAAAUUGUUGAAAGGGAAGCGCAGGCGACCAGACUUGUCGGCGGCGUUCCGCCGGUCUUCUGACCGGUCCGCUCGCCGCCGGCAGGCCAGCAUCAUCUGGGCGCGCCGGACAACGGCGCGGGGAAUGUGGCUCCUCGGAGUGUUAUAGCCCCGCGCACAAUACGGCGCCGCCCGGGUGAGGUCCGCGCUUCGGCUAGGAUGCUGGCGUAAUGGUCGUCUGCGGCCCGUCUUGAAACACGGACCAAGGAGUCUAACAUCUAUGCGAGUGUGGGGGUGUCAAACCCCGACGCGGAAUGAAAGUGAACGGAGGUGGGAAGCGCGAGCUGCACCAUCGACCGAUCCUGAUGUCUUCGGAUGGAUUUGAGUAAGAGCAUAGCUGUUGGGACCCGAAAGAUGGUGAACUAUGCCUGAAUAGGGUGAAGCCAGAGGAAACUCUGGUGGAGGCUCGCAGCGGUUCUGACGUGCAAAUCGAUCGUCAAAUUUGGGUAUAGGGGCGAAAGACUAAUCGA
rnacentral:rRNA from 1 species